rnacentral:rRNA from 1 species
GUCCAGACUCCUACGGGAGGCAGCAGUGGGGAAGAUUGCACAAGGGGCGCAAGCCUGAUGCAGCCAUGCCGCGUGUAUGAAGAAGGCCUUCGGGUUGUAAAGUACCAUCAGCGGGGAGGAAGGCGAGAAGGCGAAUAACCUUGUCGAUUGACGUUACCCGCAGAAGAAGCACCGGCUAACUCCGUGCCAGCAGCCGCGGUAAUACGGAGGGGGCAAGCGUUAAUCGGAAUUACUGGGCGUAAAGCGCACGCAGGCGGUCUGUCAAGUCGGAUGUGAAAUCCCCGGGCUCAACCUGGGAACUGCAUUCGAAACUGGCAGGCUGUAGUCUUGUAGAGGGGGGUAGAAUUCCAGGUGUAGCGGUGAAAUGCGUAGAGAUCUGGAGGAAUACCGGUGGCGCAGGCGGCCCCCUGGGCAAAGACUGACGCUCAGGUGUGAAAGCGUGGGGAGCAAACAGGAUUAGAUACCCUGGUA